UACGUAGGGGGCAAGCGUUGUCCGGAAUCAUUGGGCGUAAAGCGCGUGUAGGCGGCUCGAUAAGUCCGCUGUGAAAGUCGGGGGCUCAACCCUCGGAUGCCGGUGGAUACUGUCGGGCUUGAGUACGGAAGAGGCGAGUGGAAUUCCUGGUGUAGCGGUGAAAUGCGCAGAUAUCUGGAGGAACACCAGUGGCGAAGGCGGCUUCCUGGCCUGUAACUGACGCUGAGACGCGAAAGCGUGGGGAGCGAACCGG
rnacentral:rRNA from 1 species